UACGGAGGGGGCGAGCGUUGUUCGGAGUUACUGGGCGUAAAGCGCACGUAGGCGGUGCGGUAAGUCAGGGGUUAAAGGCUGCAGCUCAACUGCAGUAAGGCCUUUGAUACUAUCGUGCUAGAGUGUCAGAGAGGAUGGCGGAAUUCCCGGUGUAGCGGUGAAAUGCGUAGAUAUCGGGAGGAAGGUCGGUGGCGAAGGCGGCCUCCUGGGCCUGCACUGACGCUGAGGCGCGAAAGCGUGGGGAGCAAACAGG
rnacentral:rRNA from 1 species